rnacentral:rRNA from 1 species
CAGAUGUGAAAGACCCGGGGCGUCAACCUCCGGAAUAAGCAUUUGUAAACUAGGCAGACUAGAGUACUGUAGAGGGGGGUAGGAAUUUCAGGUGUAGCGGUGAAAUAGCGUAGAGAUCUGAAGGAAUACCGGUGGCGAAGGCGGCCCCCUCGGACAGAUACUGACACUCAGAUGCGAAAGCGUGGGGAGCAAACAGGAUUAGAUACCCUGGUAG